rnacentral:tRNA from 1 species
UGAUAGCUUAGUUGGUAAAGAAUCUGCCUGCAAUGCAGGAGACCCUAGGUUGAUUCCUAGGUCGUCAA